CAUCCCAGUUCGGAUUGCAGGCUGCAACCCGCCUGUAUGAAGUUGGAAUCGCUAGUAAUCGCGGAUCAGCAUGCCGCGGUGAAUACGUUCCCGGGCCUUGUACACACCGCCCGUCACACCAUGAGAGUCGGGAACACCCGAAGUCCGUAGCCUAACCGCGAAGGGGGGCGCGGCCGAAGGUGGGUUCGAUAAUUGGGGUGAAGUCGUAACAAGGUAUC
rnacentral:rRNA from 1 species